GGUUCCGUAGCUCAGUCGGAUCAGAGCAACAGCCUUCUAAGCUGUGGGUCCCGGGUUCGAGCCCCGGCGGAAUCA
rnacentral:tRNA from 1 species